rnacentral:rRNA from 1 species
GACGAACGCUGGCGGCGUGCUUAACACAUGCAAGUCGAACGGAAAGGCCCUGCUUUUGUGGGGUGCUCGAGUGGCGAACGGGUGAGUAACACGUGAGUAACCUGCCCUUGACUUUGGGAUAACUUCAGGAAACUGGGGCUAAUACCGUAUAGGAGCUCCUGCUGCAUGGUGGGGGUUGGAAAGUUUCGGCGGUUGGGGAUGGACUCGCGGCUUAUCAGCUUGUUGGUGGGGUAGUGGCUUACCAAGGCUUUGACGGGUAGCCGGCCUGUGAGGGUGACCGGCCACAAUGGGACUGAGAUACGGCCCAGACUCCUACGGGAGGCAGAAGUGGGGAGUAUUGCACAAUGGGCGGAAGCCUGAUGCAGCAACGCCGCGUGCGGGAUGACGGCCUUCGGGUUGUAAACCGCUUUCGCCUGUGACGAAGCGUGAGUGACGGUAAUGGGUAAAGAAGCACCGGCUAACUACGUG